rnacentral:misc_RNA from 1 species
UCCGGUUUGUCACCGGCAGUCUCCUAUGAGUCCCCGACAUAACUCGCUGGCAACAUAGAACGAGGGUUGCGCUCGUUGCGGGACUUAACCCAACAUCUUACGACGCGAGCUGACGACAACCAUGCACCACCUGUGAACCGGCCCCAAAGGGGAAACCACAUCUCUGCAGCAGUCCGGUCCAUGUCAAGCCUUGGUAAGGUUCUUCGCGUUGCAUCGAAUUAAUCCGCAUGCUCCGCCGCUUGUGCGGGCCCCCGUCAAUUCUUUUGAGUUUUAGCCUUGCGGCCGUACUCCCCAGGCGGGACACUUAACGCGUUAACUGCGGCACAGAGGGAUUCGACUCCCCCCACACCUAGUGUCCAUCGUUUACGGCUAGGACUAC